rnacentral:rRNA from 1 species
CGCGGUUAUACCAAGUGGUUAAGUUAUAUAUCUGGGUAAAAAGACAGUUAAGUAUAACAUGGACAGUUUAUUGAUCAUUUAUGUAAAAGUAAAAUUUGUAUAUGAAUAGUUAGUCUAAUAAUAACUAAUUACACUGAAGCCGUGAUAAUCAUGAGGGAAACUGGGAUUAGAUACCCCACUAUUCUUGAUUGUAAAUAUAAUUAAACUUACCAGAGUACUAUGAAUGGUUAAAAAUUUAAAACUCAAAGGGCUUGGCGGUGUUUUAGACCUAUCAGGGGAACCUGUCUCAUAAUCGACAAUCCGCGUUAUACCCAACCUUAUUUUGUCAUUCAGUUUGUAUACCGUCGUCGUCAGGUAACUUUUAAAAAUAUAGAAGUUAGCAACAAAAAUUAAAUAAAUUAAGACGUCAGAUCAAGGUGCAGCUUAUAAUAAGGGGAGGAUGGGUUACAGUUAUGAUAGUUAUAAUUACGGAAAUUUAAAUGAAAUUAUUUUUAGAAGGAGGACUUGAAAGUAAAACUAAAAAUAUAUAAAUAAAUUGAAUAAGGCUCUG